CUUUCCCUCUUUCUUCGGGCCUAACACAUGCAAGUCGAGCGGAUGAAGGGAGCUUGCUCCUGGAUUCAGCGGCGGACGGGUGAGUAAUGCCUAGGAAUCUACCUGGUAGUUGUGGAUAACGUCCGUAAACGGGCGCUAAUACCGCAUACGUCCUGAGGGAGAAAGUGGGGGAUCUUAGGAGCUCGCGCUAUCAGAUGAGCCUAAGUCGGAUUAGCUAGUUGGUGGGGUAAGGGCCUACCAAGGCGACGAUCCGAAACUGGUCUGAGAGGAUGAUCAGUCACACUGGAACUGAGACACGGUCCAGACCCCUACGGGAGGCAGCAGUGGGGAAUAUUGGACAAUGGGCGAAAGCCUGAUCCAGCCAUGCCGCGUGUGUGAAGAAGGUCUUCGGAUUGUAAAGCACUUUAAGUUGGGAGGAAGGGCAGUAAGUUAAUACCUUGCUGUUUUGACGUUACCAAAAGAAUAAGCACCGGCUAACUUCGUG
rnacentral:rRNA from 1 species